GACGAACGCUGGCGGCAGGCCUAACACAUGCAAGUCGAGCGGAGCGGCGGACGGGUGAGUAAUGCCUAGGAAUCUGCCUGGACGUGGGGGAUAACGUCCGGAAACGGGCGCUAAUACCGCAUACUAUCAGAUGAGCCUAGGUCGGAUUAGCUAGUUGGUGGGGUAAAGGCAUACCCAGGCGACGAUCCGUAACUGGGCGGAGAGGAUGAUUAGUCACACUGGAACUGAGACAAGGUCCAGACUCCUACGGGAGGCAGCAGUGGGGAAUAUUGGACAAUGGGCGAAAGCCUGAUCCAGCCAUGCCGCGUGUGUGAAGAAGGUCUUCGGAUUGUAAAGCACUUUAAGUUGGGAGGCGUUACCAACAGAAUAAGCACCGGCUAACUUCGUGCCAGCAGCCGCGGUAAUAC
rnacentral:rRNA from 1 species